UAAGUAUACUUCUUUGUUGAUCCUGAUAGC
rnacentral:piRNA from 1 species